UGGGGAAUCUUGCGCAAUGGGGGGAACCCUGACGCAGCGACGCCGCGUGCGGGAUGGAGGCCUUCGGGUCGUAAACCGCUUUCAGCAGGGAUGAGACAAGACGGUACCUGCAGAAGAAGCCCGGCUAACUACGUGCC
rnacentral:rRNA from 1 species